rnacentral:rRNA from 1 species
GCACGAGAAUCUGGCUUCGGCCAGUAGUAAAGUGGCGGACGGGUGAGUAACACGUGGAUAAUCUGCCCUUCGGCGGGGGACAACAGUCCGAAAGGAUUGCUAAUACCGCAUACGUCGGCGAGGUCUUCGGAUCUUGUCGGGAAAGAUGGCCUCUUCAUGAAAGCUAUCACCGAAGGAUGAGUCCGCGUCCCAUCAGCUAGUUGGCGGGGUAAUGGCCCACCAAGGCUAAGACGGGUAGCUGGUCUGAGAGGAUGAUCAGCCACACUGGAACUGAGACACGGUCCAGACUCCUACGGGAGGCAGCAGUGGGGAAUAUUGGGCAAUGGGCGCAAGCCUGACCCAGCCAUGCCGCGUGAGUGAUGAAGGCCUUCGGGUCGUAAAGCUCUGUGGGGAGGGAAGAAACCGUUUGUGGCUAACAUCCACGAACAUUGACGGUACCUCCUUAGCAAGCACCGGCUAACUCCGUG